rnacentral:lncRNA from 1 species
GCCGCCCCCUCCCCGGCGCGCCCCGCCGAACAAAGCCCCCGGCAGCGCUCACCGGCAGCCUCUCGCUGUCUUCUGCCCUCGCCCAGCGCUCCUCCUCCCGCUGAGAAGCCGGCGCAGGGGUGCGGGCCCGAGUGCGGGAGGUCACCCCGCUGCGCAGCCCAUUCAGCGGCGCCGGCCGGGUGUCCCCCUCACAGCGCCCGCGGCCGCGCCCCGGCUCACUCCGUGCGCUCCAGCUCCGGGCAGCGGCUUAAUCUCCAAACUUCCUCCUCCUCCCGGCCGGGCAGAGGAGUCUGUGAAACUCCCCUCCUCCAUGCAGCUCCUGCAGCCCAGCCGCUGCCUCAGCCCCUCCCCGGGGCGGCCUGGCCCGGCUCUGGGCUGGGGCUUGCUUUGCUCUCCUUCCCCUCCCUACUCCGCCGCCCCCAGCCCCCGAGGCUGGGAAAAGGGGGGGAAGAGAGAUUAACCAUUCGGAUUUGUCUCUGGAAUGGAGCCAAAGAGAGCAGUCGGAAUACAGCCCCGGGAAGAAGGGAGGAAAAGGGAAUGGGGGAUGAAAAAACAAAAAAAAAAUGAAAGGGGGGGAAAAAAUCCGCUACUGCUUUCACGCAGGGAGAAGCGCUGGGCUGUCCUGCACUCCCCGUGUGUCAGGUCACAGCCGCUCCGCCCGGCUGCAAGCCCCAUCCCCGCCUCGCCUCGCUGCCCACGGGCUCCUCUCCACCACCACAGUCCCAGUCUUCCUGCCAUGGUUAAAAAGGAAAUCUGGAAGUAGGAAACAAGUCAAGAUGCAGCCCCCUCUUUAUAUAAGGAGACUAUAUUCCAUGUUUCUCUCCUUGGAGUACAGCAAAGAAUAUUCUCAAGUUAAAGAGACAAAGUCAAUGCUACAAUAGAAGAUUGGCAAAAUAAAGUUAAUACUUCUUCCCUAGAGGCCUCA